rnacentral:rRNA from 1 species
UACGUAGGGUGCGAGCGUUAAUCGGAAUUACUGGGCGUAAAGCGUGCGCAGGCGGUUUUGUAAGCCAGAUGUGAAAUCCCCGGGCUUAACCUGGGAAUGGCAUUUGGGACUGCAAGGCUGGAGUUUGGCAGAGGAGACUGGAAUUCCCGGUGUAGCAGUGAAAUGCGUAGAUAUCGAGAGGAACACCAGUGGCGAAGGCGAGUCCCUGGACGACUCCUGACACUGAGGCACGAAAGCUAGGGGAGCAAACAGG